GAUGAACGCUGGCGGCGUGCCUAACACAUGCAAGUCGAGCGAACGGAUAAGGAGCUUUCUCUUUUGCCGUUAGCGGCGGACGGGUGAGUUACACGUGGAUAACCUUCCUAUAAGACUUGGAUAACUUCGUGAAACCGGAUCCCAUACCGGAUCAUAUUUUGAACCGCUUGGUUCAAUAGAGCUACGCGCCUUUGCUGUCACUUUUAGCUGGUUCCGCGUCGUAUUAGCUAGUUGGUAAGGUAACGGCUUACCAAGGCUACGAUGCGUAGCUGACCUGAGAGGAUGAUCAGCCACACUGGAACUGAGACACGGUCCAGACUCCUACGGGAGGCAGCAGUAGGGAAUAUUCGGCAAUGGGCGAAAGCCUGACCGAGCAAUGCCGCGUGAGUGAAGAAGGUCUUCGGAUCGUAAAGCUCUGUUAUUAGGGAAGAACAGAAGUAUGAGAAAACGUGGACGUCUUGACGGUACCAAAAGAAAAAGCAACGGCUAACUACGUG
rnacentral:rRNA from 1 species